UAAGAUGUGGACAUCGAGCCUUCAACAUGGGUAUUUUUCUACUGGAAUCUUACUUUAUUCAUUUGCAAAAAGUAGACAGGAACUUCUCCCCUGCGGGGUAGCAAUGGGAACUGGAGAAAAUGUAUUUCAAGUGCCUUGCGCAAUGCCCGGCACCGAGGCACUUGGCGGCACUCAGUAUCUGGGCGGCUGAGCCCCCCAGCCUGCACCCUCCGCAAACACAAGACGAACCGUAAGCCGCGGACGCCCUUUACCACCGCGCAGCUGCUGGCGCUGGAGCGCAAGUUCCGCCAGAAGCAGUACCUGUCCAUCGCCGAGCGCGCGGAGUUCUCCAGCUCGCUCAGCCUCACUGAGACGCAGGUGAAGAUAUGGUUCCAGAAUCGCCGCGCCAAGGCAAAGAGACUACAAGAGGCAGAGCUGGAGAAGCUGAAGAUGGCCGCCAAGCCCAUGCUGCCACCGGCUGCCUUCGGCCUCUCCUUCCCUCUCGGCGGCCCCGCAGCUGUAGCGGCCGC
rnacentral:sRNA from 1 species